rnacentral:lncRNA from 1 species
GAGGUCUUUGUACUACAGGCAUGCGUGCCGAGCAUGCGGUGAGGUGGGGGAGUUUUUGGUGAGGAAGACCCUGAACAGCAACGUGCAGUUUCUGCUGUGCGGGCGGUGCAUUCGACUUGGCGGAGUGCAGAGCAAACUGGCGCAGUACUCCAUCGACCUGUGUGGUGUCACAGGCAAGCUGCGGGGUCCUACUAAUUCGACCCCGGGAUCCAGGCCUACUUAAGAAGCUACGAAGCUUCAACUUCCACGGUUGCCACGAAACGUCUCCAUCUAAUGCACUCACGUCUACAUCAGGUGCUGACCACCACAACCAUUACGGAAUCUUAGGCCUUGAGAAGCCCGCUCUGCAGCAAUGGGCAUUGGGGAAUUUCCAGCUCCUCACACAAUUUCCAUUCCAAUGCGCUAUGCUAUACUACUGCGCGACCUGCGCCUGUCAUUCCCAGUGUGUGAUGACAGCUUCAACCCUGAUGAUUUCUCCACCAUCUUCGGUGCACUGAAAUGCCUGCAAGUGCGCAUGGGGAAGUUUGAGCACAACUUGGACACCAUCGAGCUGGGCAUGAGCAAGCUGGAGCACCGCAUCGACAACAUGGAGCUCCUCAUGGAGCAGUUGCAGAGGGAGCUGAACUAUGGGGAAGGCGAGGUUGAUCCCCCAAACUCAUGCUCCCGCAUGCACGAAACGCAACAACAGCACCAACAACAAUACACCCCUCCCUCGCCGCACCCCUCUCUGACGCCGCCCUCCAAUUCCACGUCAGCUGCCCACGUAUUGGCUCUGGAGCCUCCUUGACCCUUUCCAAUUCAGCUGAGUCAGCACUGUUUCUCCAAGUCUUGUCCACGUCACUGCUUUAUCAACUUAAUAGCGUAGAAGAAUUUAUAUUUCUGAUCGAUACAUCAUUGGAUAUAUUGAAAUAAGGAGUGGAAAAUCUCACAAUAAUCAACUCUUGACUUGGUAGGAUUGUCAAAAACUGGUUAUGUGUGUUGAUUGUUUUAAUUUUUUCCAAUUUAAACUGAAAUGUAGUGAACGUCUUAGACACCUAGAUUUUUGAGUCUAGACAAAUGUUAAAAUAAAUUUAUUAGUUAACAAAUUUUCACAAUAUGAUUUGAUUCAAAUGAAUACUUGAAUUAUUAAAAACAUAUAUAUUUGUAUUGAAUUUUUGAAUUUGGAGCCUGGGUUUUCUUAAGCUUAAGUGGUAAAAACAGAAUUGCAGAACAUUUAUGUUCAUUCCUCUAUACUAUUACAUGUGGAAAUGUUUUAUAUAGUAAUCUAUGUAAUAUACUGAAGUAUCUAUUUCACUUCUUCUGUAUAAAAUAUUUCCUAGAAAUUCAUUUUUUCUGGUUUAUCAAUCAAAUUAUGUAGCAAUUCAUUUGAUCUUACAAAGUUGUAAUGUAACAUUUGUUUCAGUAAAUGAUUAUAAGUUAUAAGUAAUAAGAGAAUCACUCAAAUAUUUAAUUAAAGAAAUACUUUACAACUUAUUGAUAAUGUAAGAAUUAUUUGAAUUAAUUUACAUUUAUUAAUAUUUUCCUAUUUAUGAAAUUGGAACAAAAAACAAAAGUAUUUGUAGAAAACAUGUAAAACAAAUUAUUUUUAUCAUGAGUAUUACUCUCUAUAUUGACUAUUAUUCUUUACUAAAAAAUUGGUAUUUUUUUAAAAAAUUAAAUUUAAAGUUACCUCCGUAUAGAAAAUAUUAAAUCAACCCACCUACAUCUUAAAUUAACACAAAACUUAUCUUAAGCUAUUAAUUCUUUGGAAUACGGGCUUGGAUUGAAACAAUUACUUUUGGAUCAUCUCUAUGAACUACAAAUUUUGCAAUGGAAGAGUCACAAAGCAAAUUUUGAUUGCUCACGUUGGUCCUCUCUUGUCUGGCUGCAAGUUUGGUAGUUGAAACCUUCAAUUCCAACCUAAACACUUCUCAAGCUCACAAAAACUGCUAAGAACGUUCAUUCAUGAGAUUGUUGAUUGCUUAUUACUAUAGUGGAAUUCAUCACCUAAGACUUCUGAGACCGUUUUUGCAAAUGUUUCAUAAUGUGCAUUAUACUGGGCUUAAUAUAUACCUUCAUUUCAAAAAAGAAAAGCCUUGCAAAAGGUUCUGAGUCAAUUGAAAAUGUAGGUGGGUUUCUUUAAUAUUCUUCUAAAUAAACAUGUGUGUGUGUGUAUAUAUAUAUAUAUAUAUAUAUAUAAUUGCUCAUAUUUUAAAUUCAUAAAAUUGCUAUUAAUUCUAUAGCCUUAGAAGUUAAUUGUCUUACGAAACAUCAAAUAAUUUAAAGUUAUAAUAUUUUCAUACUGAAUAUUAUUUCCAAUGAUCAUAAUCAUAAUUUUAAAGCUAAUUUUUUUAUACAAUUAAAAAAAAUUGACAUUGAAGUUAUAACAAAAGAUUAAAAAAAUGAUAAUUACGCUAAAAUCAUAGAUUAUAUAUUGAGAUAAUUUUUGGUACCUAAAAAUUAUAAUUAGCAAGAUUACAAUUGUCACUAGAAUAUAUCCCAACCAAAUUUAUUAACAAAUUAAAUCGUAGCAAUAGUUGGAACUACAUAUUUAGAUACAGCUUAUGCUUGCCAAUAUAUUAUUAGUAUUUAAGGUAUGUGACUGAAAUUACCUUAAAUUGUUUCAAAUAAAAAAAUCUAAGAGUUAAAUAAAAUUUUAUUUUGAAUAUUUUUAGGCACUGGAUUGUGUAUGUUUUGCUUAAAUAGCACUUUUGUAUUUAUGUAAUUAAAUAUAAUUAUUUACAAUUAUGUUCUUAAACAAUGUUUCUAUCAUCAUUCUAGGUGAGCAUCCAAAUGCAAGAUAAAUAAUAUUGUUUUGCAUCAUUUAAUAUAAGAAUCCAAAUUUGAAGUAUGAAUCUUUUAGAAGUAAUGUUCAUUAAUUUUGAAAGUAUAAAAAAUAAUAAAAAAUAAUUUUUAAAAUUUAAAAGUAUUAUGAUAUACCAAAUCUGUGCAUAUUUGAAUGUUUGUAGAGACAUUGUUGCAAGUUGUGUACAUAAAUUCUGUACAUAGAAUUGUUAUAAUAGAAUUUAUGUACACAAUGUAUGUACAGAAUUCUAUUAUAACAAUUCUGUACAUUGAAUACAAUAAUAUUGUAUUUUAAUUGAAGGUUCAAACUUUUAGAGAUUUUUAUGAUAAAAAAGUAGAUAUUCGUUAAAAUGUUUUUUCUAAUAAAAACAUAAAACCUCAAUUUAAUUAUCUAUAUUUACUCCGAUCAGAGUGCAGUAUCACAUUUUCUUUUUACAAAUUUAACAUAUAUAUAUACACAUAUAUAUAGAGAUAGAGACACCCAUAAUUUUCUUUUAAAUUCAAACAAUAAAGAAGAUAACUAACUUAUGAUCAUGAGAUGCAUCAAAUCCAGGAUAACUCCCCCCCACAGGUUGUUGGUUAUUCUCUCCCCACAGUUCCAAAUGAAGACUGCAUCCCCAGCCCAAACCAGGGCUCGAAUGGACCUUCGAUUAUUCAACACAGAUCGACGGCGCAAAGCUCUCGAGAAUAGAAGAAUGUAACUGGGCGUGGCAGCGGAUGUAGGACCCACAUCUGCACACACGUGGAAUCGAAGUCCUGUGGACGGAACGAUCUCGCCGUUGCUGCUGCAGUCACAACUCCGAUCAUGCCUCACCGUAUAUCUAUCACCGACUUCACACCACCGCCCGUGUUCAUCAAUUCCCUUGCUCUUCUUUUCAACGUCAAAAUCGGUUGGGAGUUGGCUGGUGGACUCAAGGCGUUGAAUGUUGUGGCUCCAGUAGGAGAGUGGAUCAGCGAAGGUUGAAGUGGUUGAUAUAGACUACUGGAAGGGACUGACGCUAGGUGACGUGAUCGGGUUUACGGUGUCGACGAUGUGAACAAUACUGGUAUUAAAGUAUUUGCACAUGUGCACCGGUUCACGAAGCGAUACUGCACUCUGAUCGGAAUGUGGCAUCCUCUAAUUCUAGAGUCACGAACCAAUAUCCCUGUGUAUGUGCCGGCUUUCUUAUACCCUUGGGAGGUUUCAUCCAACAUAGUUUGCAUCGGGGAAUGAGCGCGGUGACGGUUACCGGAGAUAAAGAGACCAAAAAAUUGAGUCCGUCUUUUCUGUUGCAACACUACUUUACACUCAUGGAUGAUCAAAUAUUUGCCUAAUCGGUGAGCCAUAUGCACACACAGGGACUUAGCAUUCAUCUUUACCAGACAUUCUCGUUUAAGGUUUACUAAGCUUUAGAUUGAGCGAUGGUUUCACAACGUCGAGUUUUUCAAGAAUACAGAAUAGGCUCUAGGCUUAUUUUUCCAAUAUUUUGCAGCGUUCUGUCCCGAUUCUGUUUCGAUGUAUCCCAUGUGGAACUUUCAGAUCAAUUACAUUCUGCAUACCUGGGGCAUUUUCAUUAAUCCUUUGAGAUAAUAGGUCGGAUCAAGUCUUGUACCGCCAGAUAUGCAAACAUGCAUUAUCCGACGCAUGGUUGGAAAUUUCUUUUCAAACAAUUCAUUGAUAUCAACGUGUUCAACUGUAUAUUGAGAAAUUCUAUCGCACAGUAAACCUUCCAAAGGAUUCUAUUGCAGAUCAGCUGGAUAUACUAUUUGUCUUAAUGCACAGAGUAAGUUUAUAAAUGAACCUGAGAAUCUGCUGCAACUAAAUUGUUGUUCAUAAUCUCAGCAGCUUCUUUUAUCCUCCAAGAAAUGCCAAUAGUUCAAUUGUGUCACGAUUCGUGUGUGCUUACAAGAAUUUUUUAGAAAGUAACUGAAUGAAAUUGUUAACUAUGAAUCGAUCCAUGAUAUCAUUGUGACCGUCAUAUUUUCGUUUUUUUCAUUCCGAACGAAGUUUGCCAGGUGUGGACAAGAAUGAUAACAAUUUCGCAGAGCUUCGCAAGACCCUUGCACACACAAUACUCGCACAAUUAAAAUUUCUGAUGCAUGUUUGUUAAUCGGCUCGAAACCGGAUUGACAGUAAUAAAAUUAUACCUUCCUAAAUUAUUACACUCCAGGAUCACAAUUUCGUCUCUUAUUCCACCAUAUUGUUGUAUUGCUGCUUUGUGUCAAGGAAGUCUGGUUCGCAUGGUUUCAUGUGAAUGCACGGUUAAGAACAAAACACUGAACUAUUGUUAGCUUGUCGCCUUUCUAAGUGGUUUUUGUGAAGGUUGAAAGCCUGAAAUGAUCCAUAUAUGUCACGCCUGUUGGACUUGGUAAAGAAAUAAGAUGGUCCAACCAAGACUGAGUGGCGAUGCUUCCAAGUACUGGUUGAGAUCGAGGAGUGCCAGAAAGAACGGUGGAGAAAACUUAGUGUUUGUGGAUCAUAUUCAAAAUAUUUUUAACGGCAGCCUUGCAAGAUCGUCAGCAAAGAAGGAGGAGGGUACAUCCGCUGCUGCCAUACCUACCACCACUUCAACCAACCAAUAUUCCCUAUCUGGUUCUUCGACUGCACCUACCAUACGCAAAAGCACACGCCUCUUCGAAAAACGAGUGGCUUUGUUACCAGGUCGUCAUCGAGUAGGGCCGCAGUAUUGGCUUCGACCAAGGUUGAGAGGGGGAAAGCGAUCGCUCUUGGUUUCGGUGAAAUCACUGUAUCUUUCAGGUGAGCAAUUCCUGCUCUCACUUCUGUUUCCAUACUCCGCCGUUUCAGAUAAAAAAAUUUCCAAUGCGAAUCUCAGGUAUGGAAACCCGUGGAAGAUGUAGCAUCGUCCAUGAGCAUCAUAUGUAAAUCCAGCAUGAACUUGUGAUACAUUUUCAGUCUCUGAAAUAAAUACCAGAACAACAAGAUCUGAAGGACGGUGAUAAGAAAAUCAAGCCUUGCAGUGGCUGCUGUCAACCAACUCCGCACAGCAGGAAGAGCGCCCGUUUGAUUGAAAAGCACGCAGCCUCACUAAUAGGUUGUCGAGCAGGAAGAGCUCACAAGCGCAGGCGCAAAGGCUCACAAUUCAAAAGGAAGAAGAAACGCGUAUGCUGGUUAUAUUUAGGAGCUCCUUGGUUGGGAGGCUGCCAUAAUUUGAAAAUGCCUCUUCAUGAAAGGAGGACAGGACUUAGGGUGGACUCUGAUUCUGGGUGUAAGGGUACACUAAAUUGUUGUUAAUCCAGUUCCAUAAACAUGAAUUUCCUUUUUGUUGUCUUCUCCCACCACCAUCCAUGACACUUGGCGCCGAUAAGGUUAUUUACCUCAGUCAAUUUCCUGUGGCAGGUCUUGUAGUUGACGCUGUUAACUCCUCCAGUGAAAAAUUCCGUGAUCCUGCAAGCCGCCCUGUCCUACAGCGCCUAACUGACCUUGGGCAAGACGACUUGCUGCAUAGUAUUCUGGAGAAGUUGCCACCUGCAAAUCUUCUCAAAGCUUCACGAGUAUGUUGCUCAAUCUAUGUGAUCAAGUUUACCAAUACUACUACAACAUUCGACUAAGAUUUUUCGACGUUCAGCCUUGCAAUUCUAAACGAGUCGUCAAGGACUCCAAUACAUGCUAAUGCACUUUGAAGUUUCAUGCCAUCUUUGUCUUGCAGGUGUGUAGGUCAUGGGCAAGUCUUUGCGAACCAGCCUUAAGAUUGCAAUGUCAGCGACAUGGAUGGUCGUUACCUCGUCUUCCUCGUGGUGCCACCCCAGCAUUUCCAGUAUGAUUUGAUUUCUCUCCCUCUCUCGCUAGUCCCAAUAUCAUCAUCAUCAGCAGCAUCUCUAUCAUGUUAUUGUUGUUGUUGUUGUCAAUUGGGUGAGCCAAAACUUCACUGAGUGGUUGCCUGUGAGAUAAGAGACUCGCACUCUGUGUUGAGAGUGGAGGGCAGAGUGGGGAACCGAACUCACCCAGUUGUUGUCAUCGCAUGGGCACGGCGAUAUUGUCAUCAUCCAGUGGAGGUCUUUGUACUACAGGCAUGCGUGCCGAGCAUGCGGUGAGGUGGGGGAGUUUUUGGUGAGGAAGACCCUGAACAGCAACGUGCAGUUUCUGCUGUGCGGGCGGUGCAUUCGACUUGGCGGAGUGCAGAGCAAACUGGCGCAGUACUCCAUCGACCUGUGUGGUGUCACAGGCAAGCUGCGGGGUCCUACUAAUUCGACCCCGGGAUCCAGGCCUACUUAAGAAACUACGACGCAACAUUUGCAGCAACUCCUGCUUUCUCUGUGUAAAUUUACAGAUCUAUGUAUUCUUUAUACACUAUUUAUCCGUCUGUCUUUCCUCUUGCUGUGGUCUCCAUACAUCCAGCAGUUGUUGUGUGCCAGUUCCAUCCCCAGGACCCUGCUCACCUACGUAUCUGCACCUUCCAUCACAUUUUCCACCAAAUGUCUCGACCUCAUGCACUCACGUUAACACCACCACAACAACAGAGUCCUAGGCCAUCCGCAAAAUUUGUAAUAAACAUUGAAAUAUCUAAAAAUUAAAUAAAAACCCAUUCUUUUGUAAUUUAUUGAUGAAAUUCUAAGAUGUCACAUCUUACUUAAUUUUACUCAACAAUGUAGAUGUUGAGCUUUUUUAAUAUAGAAUCUCUUGAAAUUUCAAAUGUUGCAAAUUUUCAAGUGUUUACAUGACAAUUUUGUAGAUGGUAAUCCUUGAAUUUAAAGUUUUAAAAUUUAUUCUAUUUAUUUUAUAAAAUUUAUCAAAAUCAUUCAAUCUAGAAUACUUAUUAUAUAUUUUAAAAGUUAUGUAGUAUAUUUUGAAGGUUGUUGCAUUUUUUUAAAAUCAGUUUACAUUAUAAAAUAAAUAAAUAUAUAUAUAUAUAUAUAUAUAUAUAUGCCAUAAAAAUAAAUAUACUAUCAAAAUACAAAGUAUUCUUUGUUAAUAUCAAAAUAUGUUUAAAGACAUGUUAAUGCAAGAAUUUUAAGCCAAAAAAUGGAUAAUAUAUUGUCAAAAGUUAAGAUUUUAGUAAUGACUUAACAUCACUUAGAUUAAAUUUAAUAAAAAAAAUUUGUGAAUUAAUUAUGGAUUUGAUUUAAGAUAAUAAUUAGAGUUAAUUUCUCUAUUAUUUCUUUUUUGAUAUUAUACUCUUAAAUAUAAUUAUGAUGCAUAUUAGAGGUGGUCAUACAUUAUAGGAACUACCAUUUAUUUCAAAUUAUGUUCUUUGUAAUUUAGACCAAGAUCCCAAUAAUACACUUAUAUAAAAUAGGCAAAUAUAAAGAACAAAUAUUAUUUCUUUAGAUUUUUUAUAUUUAUUUGCCUAUCUUAUAAUUGCCUAUCUGUCACGGACAUACUCAUGUAAGCUAGUAAUUACAUAUAUAAAUAGGUAGAAGUAAGUAAAAGUAGAUAAAAGUAAGUUAAUUCUAUAAUAUUUGGUAUAGAAGCUUCUUAGAAGCUUCAUAGACGGUGCUUUGAUUUUAUAGGUGCCUUUAAUUGACAUUUGGAUUAGAAACGUGGUCAACAAGUUGGCCAUGUGCCACACAUGUUGUUAGUUUGAAGAUCAAGCUAACUAUAUGGCCCUCACGUAGAAAAACUUGCCUUAUAAGACAAGGCAUGUGUCCUACAAAGUCAACACAUAUUGGAGGUCCUAUAGAAUGUCGCCACUUAGCCCCUAGUUAGAUAGUAUAUAUAGAGACAAGAGUGAAGCCUUCUUCACUCUUGUCAACUCCUUUCUUGUUUCUAGUCUAGUUUCAAGAGUCUUCAUGUUUUCUAGUCUUUGGCAAUAGCCAUUUCAGUUUUUCUUUCAAUAUACAUACUUGUUUAUUUAUAUUUUGUUACCUUUCUUUGAGUGAAGGCUCACUUGUCUGAAUUACUUUUUUAUCGAGUUCUUGUCCUUAACAAAUUGACAAGAGUAUACUUACAAUAUCAAAGCUUUGUCUUUUCUUGAUUAAAAGUGGAUUAAUAUUUUUUUUUGAUAAGACAUAAGCGUAUUAAGAGUUGCGAAUGACCCUCUUUUAAAAUGAUAUUAUUUUUAGUAUUUUCUUUGUUUUUAAGUUCGUUCUCUUACUUGUCUUCAAUAAUAUUAGACAUUUUUUUUUCUAGGUGUUACCCUAGCUGAGCUUGUCGAAUUAAAGAGUGCAAUGACACAAAUGCAAGAACAACUGAGACAAUUAAUGUUUGUGAUGCAUCAACUUAAUUCACCAACAAAAGGAGGAACAAGAAUAACAGAAAGUGGAGAUGUAGAGAUGGUCAGAGCUGCCUCAACAUCUACAUCGAAUCAUGCCCCUUCUCCAAUGGUGGAACACCAUUCAAAUACUAGAGAACCAAAAAUUGUCUUAUCCAAGAAAUUUGAUGGUACGAGAUCAAAAUUUCGAGGAUUCAUGAAUCAAGUAUAAUUGACAAUUAAACUUCAACCCCAAAGGUAUCCAAUUCCAAGAUCACAAGUCAGGUUUAUUGGAACACUACUUUUCGAUUUUGUAUUAUCAUGGUUUUCAUCUUUUUUUGAACGACAAGAUCCAAUAUUGGAUAAUUUAGCAACUUUCUUGGUAGAAUUUUGAUCUAUGUAUGGAGAACAUGAUACAGUUCGUGUUGCAACAAAUAAGAUCCGUAUCUUACAACAAGGAAAUCAAUCAGUAACAACAUAUGCUUCAUAAUUUUGAUAACUUGCGAUUGAUACUAAGUGGAAUGAUGUUGCACUCAUUAGCCAAUUCCUUUAUGGACUACAAUAUGAGGUAAAAAAAUUGAUGCUCAAUUUACUCGAUCCUCAAAUAUUGAGUCAAGCAAUUGAUUUUGAUGUAAAAUGUGACAAUCGACUUUUUGAAUUUUGAUCUAAGAGUCACAUAAGUAAGGCUCAAUAUUAUUACAAUUCAAUGGCAACACCUACGUCUUCUCAACACAUAUCUUCACAAAUAAAAGAUAUGCAAAUCGAUGUAAUAUGUUUCAAACUUCUUACUGAACAAGAAAAGACUUGUCGUCGUCAAGAAGGAUUAUGUUUAUAUUAUGGAGAACCAAAAUACACUGCUCAACAUUAUCCAAAGAAACGACGCAACCACAAAAUAAGGAGUAUGGUUAUCAAAGAAGAUAAUAUGUCAGAAAAUGAGUUUGUCUAGCUACAAUAGGGACCGUGCGGCUGAAACCUUGUACAACAUCUGAUAAAGGUCCUAUUCUCUCCUCAGAACCCUCUCCUUAUUUUAUAGUAAAUGUUAUUUUACAAUCUAAAUAUUACAAAGCCUGUGCCUUGCUAGAUUCAAGAGCCUAAGCGUAUUUCUUAGAUGAAGAAUUUACUAAAAGACAUAGUAUAUCUUUAGUAAAGAAAACUAAAUCUGUUUAUGUAAAAGUCAUAGAUGGUCGUCCACUGUCUUCUGGAGAUAUUACUCACAAAAUCCUUUCUAUAGAAGUAAUAAUCAAUGGUCAUAAUAGCUUUGUAGUAUUUAAUAUCAUUAGAUCUUUCUCUAAUCUAGUCAUUUUAGGUUUAUCGUGGUUAGAAAAAUACAACCCUCAAAUAGAUUGGAUUUCCCAAACUAUUACUUUCUCUAAAAGUAUAACUAAGAGUGUAGUUAAUCAAGUAGAGAGUGAUAAGUCCAGUUCAAUUUAACCUGUAUUUAUAGGUGCAAAAGCUUUCUUGUAUGCUGCUAUGAAAGAAUUACCAUAUAUUAUUUAUGCCACACCCGUUUCUAAUGGUGCAAAGACUUCAUGUGGCAUUUGAAGCCAAUAUCAAGAAUUUCAAGAUGUAAUUGAAAAAAAGAAUGCGGAUACACUCUCGGAACAUCGUCCUUAUGAUUGCUCAAUUGAUCUUCAAGAAAGAGCACAACUGCCAUUCAGACCAAUCUACAAUUUUUUGCAAAAUGAGUUGACUGAACUCAAGGAGUAUAUUGAAGAAAAUCUUGCCAAGAAUUUCAUACGCCAUUCUAAAUCUCUGACAGGAGCUCCAAUUCUAUUUGUGAAGAAAAAAGAUGGAUCAUUAUAGAUGUGUGUUGAUUAUCAAGGACUCAAUAAGAUUACCAUCAAGAACGGGUGUCCACUACCUUUAAUAUCUAGACUUAUUGAUAAGUUGAAUCAAGCUAAGAUCUAUACAAAAAUAGAUCUCCGGGGAGCAUACAAUUUAGUACGCAUCAAAGAAGGAGAUAAAUGAAAGACUACAUUUUGAACUAGGUAUGAACAUUUUGAAUACAACGUCAUGCCUUUUGGACUUACAAAUGCACCAGUCUCAAGGACAAGAACUCGAUGAAAAAACAAUUCAGACAAGUGAGCCUUCACUCAAAGAGAGGUAACAAAAAAUAUAUAAACAAGGAUAUAUAUUGAAAGAGAAACUAGAAUGGCUAUUGCCAAAAGACAAGAAAACUAGAGACCCUUGAAACUAGACUAGAAGCAAGAAAAGAGUUGACAAGAGUGAAGAAGCCUUCAUUCUUGUCUCUAUAUAUAAUAUCUAAUUAGGGGCUACGUGGCGACGUUCUAUAAGACUUCCAAUAUGUGUUGACUUUGUAGAACACAUGCCUUGACUUAUAAGGCAAGUUUUUCUACGUGUGGGCCACAUAGUUAGCUUGAUCUUCAAGCUAACAACAUGUGUGGUACAUGGCCAACUUGUUGACCACGUUUUUAAUCCAUAAAAUCAAUUAAAGACACCUAUGAAGUCAAAGUAGCAUCUAUGAAGCUUCUAAGAAGCUUUCAUAUUAAAUACUAUAGAAUUAACUUACUAUUACUUACUUUUACUUACUUCUACCUAUUUGUAUAUGUAAUUACUAGCUUACAUGAUUAUGUCCGUGACAAUCGGCAGCUUUUCAACAUCUAAAGAAUGAUGUUUUUUGAGAGUUUUUUGGACAAUUUUGUGGUCUGUUAUCUAGACGACAUCUUGAUCUAUUCUAAGAAUCCAGAAGAACAUGAACUUCAUGUUCAUCAUGUGUUACAAAAAUUAAGAGAUGCGGGACUCUAUGCCAAGAUAGAAAAGUGUACAUUCUACACUACUCAAGUUGAUUUCUUAGGUUAUAUCAUUUCAAAUGAUGGACUUAUGAUGGAUCCUAAGAAAGUUUAAACUAUUAUAGAUUGGAAGAUCCCAAAAACGGUAAGAGAUGUCCAAUGCUUUUUGGGAUUUGUCAACUACUAUCGGAUCUUAAUCAAAGACUUUUCUUCAGUUGCAGCUCCACUUACACGUUUGACUUGUAAAGACAAACUCCAAUGGAAUCAAGAAGUGGAAGUUGCUUUUGAAUCUUUGAAGACAACAUUUGUUUCUACACCAAUCUUGUAUAGUGUUGAUUUUUCCAAAGCAUUCUUUAUGGAAACAGAUGCAUCAAACUUUGCCAUGGGUGCGGUUUUAUCACAAAUGGGAACAGAUGACAAACUUCAUCCAAUAGCCUUUCAUUCAAGAAAAUUCUCAGCAGCAGAAAUCAAUUAUGAGAUCCACGACAAAGAACUUCUUGCAAUUGUGGAUUCUUUUCAAGAAUGGCAUCAUUAUCUAGAAGGCGCUUUCAAUCUAAUCAUCGUGUAUACGGAUCACAAGAACCUCAAAUAUUUUAUGUCAGCAUGCAUAUUAAAUCGUCGCCAAGCUCGUUGGAGCACGUCUUUAUUAAGGUUCGAGUUCAUUAUCACUUAUCGGCUAGGAAAACAACAAGGUUUGUCCAAUGCCUUGUCUAGACGUUCUUAACUUGCACCAAAAGAAGGAGAUGCAGCUUUUCAGCAAAAAAGAACGAUUCUCUUGAAGCCACAGCAAUUUCAUCUUCAAGCAAUAAAAUCAACAUUAACUGUUGAUUUAACUUUUCUUAAGCAAGUCCAGUUAAGUAUGUCUCCAGACCCUCUUGUUCAUGAUAUCAAGAACAAUUCUUCUAAAUCUCAUGACCCCUCUAAAUUUGAAUUCAAGAACAACCUACUCUAUUUCGAAGGACACCUAUAUGUUCCAAAAAGAGAAGCAUGUUUACGUGUUCUUCAAGCUCGUCACGACUUUCCAGCAACAGGACAUUUUGGAUAUAAUAAGACUAUGGAGCUGAUAUCUAGGGAUUUUUGGUGGUCUCAAAUGUGGAAGGCAGUUAAAGAUUUUGUACAAUCAUGUGAUGUUUGCUGAAGAUCAAAAACUCCUCGUCAUCGACCUUUUGGACUUCUUCAGCCAUUACCCAUUCUACAACAACCAUGGUCUUCUGUUUCUAUGGACUUCAUCAUAGAUCUUCCAAUCUCAUGUUCUUAUGAUUCUAUAUUCGUGAUAGUAGAUCGUUUUACCAAGAUGGCACAUUUUGUACCAUGUACAAAAUCUAUCACAGGUGAAGAAACAGCUAAGCUCUUUCUUGACAAUAUCUAUCACUAUCAUGGAUUACCCAAGGAUAUUAUAUCAGAUAGGGGAACUCAAUUUGUAUCAAGAUUUUGGCGGACUCUUUUCAAGAUUCUUAAAGUGGAUAUAAAAAUAUCUUCGGCAUUCCAUCCUCAAACUGAUGGACAAAUGGAUUGUAUUAAUCAAGUUUUGGAGCAAUAUUUAAGAUGUACCAUUAAUUAUCAACAAGAUGAUUGGACAACUCUUUUCCCAUUGGCAGAGUUUGCUUACAAUAACACGGUACAUUCUUCUACAAAACAAAUACCUUUCUUUGCUAAUUAUGGUUAUCAUCCACGACUUGAUACUUUUGACUUUUCAAAAGUUGAUAAUCCUGCUGUGAAAGAUUUGGCAAUUCAUUUAUCAGAGCUACAUGCAACGAUGAAGGCGCAAUUAAAAGAAGCUCAAGAACAACAAAAGGUCAAUGCGGAUGUCUAUUGAAAGGAACAACCACCAUUCCUCUUAGAUGAUAAGGUAUGGCUACUUUGUCGCAAUAUUAAGACGACUCGUCCUUGUGACAAGUUGGACUAUCGAAGGUUUGGACCAUUUUCUAUUUCUGCACAAAUCAAUCCAGUUGCAUAUCGUUUACAUCUACCGGAAUCAAUGAAAAUCCAUUCAGUAUUCCACGAGUCUCUUUUUGAACCAUACAAGAUAGUGGACAUACCAAGAAGACGACAAGCUCCACCUUCUUCUAUAGAAGACGACAAUAAUUAAGAGUUUGAAGUAGAAGAAGUCUUAGAUUCAAGGCGAAGCCAAAAUAAAUUAGAAUAACUUGUCCAUUGGUGCAGAUAUGAUAUUAGUGAAUGCACAUGGGAGCCAGUAAAGAAUCUUGCAAAUGCAAUGAAGGCUGUGGAGGCUUUUUAUAGAUGAAAUCCAUCAAAAUGAAGAUGAAAACUUUUUUUACAAAAGAAACAACAUCUAGGCAAGAUAACAUUCUAUUUUCAAUCCUUGUUUGUAGCUUCUUUGUAGUUGUGACGCUGAGGAGAUGGAGAACCAACAACCAGCGAAUUUGACUCAAGAACCUUCAUUUAUUGACCUACCGGAUGAGAUAUUAUGAUUGUCACAACCUUCAAGACGAUGCAAUCGAGAUGAAGAUCUUCAAAAACGACAUGUUCUUCAUCGAAUUGAUAGAAAGCUACAAAGCGUUUGAUAUCACGACUUGGGAUGGGACUCCUGAUGUUCGGUGAUUUUACUAGAGGUAGGAACAACUCCUGAUGGUGUUCCAAAUGUUCUAUUUGAAGGAAGUUAUGAAGGCGUCAACAAUGAUCAAAUAACUAGGUCGUCUUUCCGCCUUGAUAUGGGACACUAUUGGUGGUUGAGAGGCCCUAUCAAUCAUCUCUGAAGAAAACAAAGAUCAAAGUAUGUGGCAAAUACAAUUUGUUGCAUCACAGAUUUCUUCAACAUAUGAUGACCGCCACUCGUGGAACUCGUCCCUAGAAGGGGGGAUAAUGUCAUGGACAUACUCAUAUAAGCCAGUAAUUACAUAUAUAAAUAGGUAGAAAUAAGUAAAAGUAGAUAAAAGUAAGUUAAUUCUAUAGUAUUUGCUAUAGAAGCUUGGCCCACACGUAGAAAAACUUGCCUUGUAAGUCAAGGCAUGUAUCCUACAAAGUCAAUACAUAUUGGAGGUCCUAUAGAACGUCGCCAUGUAGCCCUUAGUUAGAUAGUAUAUAUAGAGACAAGAGUGAAGCCUUCUUCACUCUUGUCAACUCCUUUCAUGUUUCUAGUCUAAUUUCAAGAGUCUUCAUGUUUUCUAAUCUUUGGCAAUAGCCAUUCCAGUUUUUCUUUCAAUAUACAUACUUAUUUAUUUAUAUUUUUUAACCUUUCUUUGAGUGAAGGCUCACUUGUCUGAAUUUUUUUUUCAUUGAGUUUUUGUCCUUGACACUAUCUUAUAUAAAAAAAUAAUACAAAAUAGGCAAAUAGAAAGAAUAAAUAUGAACAAAUAUUCUCUUUUAGAUCUUCUACCUUACUUUACAAUAGAUUUUUGUUUUAGACCAAAAACCACAAAGUUUUUGACUUAUUAGAUUUAAAAGCCUUAACUUGUUUUAUUUGCAAAGACUUUGUUAAAAAAGAAGAAAUAUCUUUAAUAAAAAAAACUAAGCUUAUGCAUGUAGAAGUCAAAGAUAGUUAGUUGUUAUCUUUUAAAGUUGUUUCUCAUGAAACUAUUCUUUUAGAUGUAACAACUAUUAGACAUAAUAGUUUAAUAAUAUUUAAUAUAAUUAGAUCUUUCUCUAAUUUAAUUAUUUUAUAUUUAUUGUGGUUAAAAAAAUCAAAAUUUUAAAUAGAUUUAUAUUUUUAUAUAUUUAUAUUAUAUUUUUACAUAUUUAUAUAUUUUUAAUUUAAAGGUUAUAUUUUUUCAAUAUAAUUUUAAAUAUAUAAAUAUUAUUUUUAAAUUAUUUUCUUGUGAAUAUAAAUGAUAUAUAAGAAGAAACUCAACCACCAUUUACACCAAUAUAUAGCUAUUUAUAAAAUAAAUUAAUAGUAUUAAGAAAUAUAUUGACAACAACUUAGCUAUGAAUUUCAUUCACCAUUCUAAAUCUCCAAUAAGAGUUUAUAUCUUAAUUUUGAAGAAAAAAAGACAAAUCAGCGAAGUUAUAUAUGAAUUAUUAAGGACUUAAUAAGAACUUCAUUAAUAAUAGGUGAAACAGAAUUGGUCUAUCUCAAGUAUCUAAGAAUCUUUUAAUCCACCGCAAUAUAAAACCUCAUUACAGGGUAGAACAAACUGGAUCAGAACAGAACUAAUCAAAAUGGCUCACGAAAGACAAAAUUGAGCAACGAAAAAUAGAACAAAACAAAACUAAACAGGAAGAUGCAAAACCAAACUUUACUAAGAGAAAGGGUUUGAAGGCAUACUUGUUUAGAUGCCCAAAAGGCCAUGGCCAGUCCUAUUUAUACUUUGUUCUAUCACCUUGGAUUUUCUAGAAUGUUCCUAGAUAGUGGAUCUCACUUAAAUAACCGCCUUAAACUCCUUCUAGAAGGUUCCAUGGUAGGCUACAUCUGAAAAAUCGUCCUAAUUUUUUUAGAAGGUUAUAUGGUAGGUUCCACCUAAAUAACCACCUUAAACUCUUUCUAAAAUGUUCCACGGUGGAUCCUAUGUAGUUUACUAAUCUAACUCUAAUUUUAAAAACUUCCAUGAUUCGAACUAUCUAUUCUUACACAAAUAUCUUAUUUAUACCCUAUUAUAAUAGGUAUCUUCUACAUUUAAUAUUAAAACUUAUUAAUCAAUUGAAUCAAACAAAGAUCUAUACAAAAAUAGAUUUAUAUUGAGCAUACAACUUGGUAUGCAUAAAAAAAAGAGAUAAAUUAAAGAUUUCAUUUUAAACCAAGUAUCAAUAUUUUGAAUAUAAUGUCAUGCCUUUUAGAAUGAUCAAUUCAUCAACUAUUUUUUAACAUCUUAUAAAUAAUAUUUUUUUGAAUUUUUUUAGAUUAUUUUAUUAUUUAUCAUUUAAACAACAUCUUAAUUUAUUUUAAAAAUACAAAAUAAUAUGAACUUCAUAUUUUUCAUGUAUUACAAAAAUUUAGAAAUCUAUGAUUUUAUGCCAAGUUGAAGUAGUGUAUAUUUUAUACAAUUCAUGUUGAUUUUUUAAUAUACAUCAUUUCAAAUGAUAGUCUUUUAAUGGAUCCUAAGCAAAUUCAAACUAUAAUAAAUUAAAAGGUUCGAAAAAUAAUAAUAAAAUAUUCAAUUCUUUUAAAGAUUUACUAGUUAUUAUAGAAUCUUUAUUAAGAAUUUUUUUUCAAAGUUUAGCUCCACUUACACAUUUGAUUUACAAAGAUAAACUUAAAUGGAAUAUAAAAGCUAAAGCAUCAUUUAUAUCUUUUAAAAUAAUUUUUACUUCUAUACUAAUCUUAUAUUAUAUCAACUUUUUCAAUGCAUAAGACUUUGUUUUGGGUGUAGUAUAAUCAUAAAUAAGAGCAAAUGAAAAACUUCAUCCAAUAGCUUUUUGUUCAAAAAAAUGUUUAGCAACUAAGAUCAACUACAAGAUCCAUAACAAAGAACUUUUUGUAGUUAUUGAUUCAUUUUAAGAACAGUGCCAUUAUUUAGAAAGUACUUCUAAUCCAAUCACUAUAUACAUGGAUCACAAAAAUAUCAAGUAUUUAUCUCAACAUAUAUUUUAAAUUACCAACAAGCUCUUUAGAGCAUGUCUUUGUCAAGAUUUGAAUUAGAGAUUACUUAUUGACUAAAAAAAUAAUAAGGUUUAUAAGAUGGCUUUUUUAGAUAUUCUUAUCUUACAUUAAAAAAAAAGAAACUUUUGAUCAUCAACAAAGGAUUAUUUUAAAGUCAUGGAAAUUUUAUCUUUGAACAAUAAAAUCAAUAAUUUAUUGUUGAUUUAAUAUUUUUUGAAUAAUUUUAAUCAAAUAUUUAUUUUUCAUGAUAUUAAAACUAAUUAAUUUAAAUCUCAUAAUACUUAAAAGUUUAAGUUUGAGAUUAAUUUACUCUAUUUUUAAGAGACACUUAUAUGUUUCAAAAGGUGAAGCAUAAUAACAUGCUCUUCAAAUUCAUCACAACUUCUUAGCUAUAUAGUAAUUUGGAUUAAUUUGAUCUAAGAAUUAAUCUUAAAAUAUUUUUAUUAGCUUUAAAUAUUAAAGACAAUUACAAAUUUUGUAUAAUUGUAAAACAUUUAUUCAAGAUCAAAAACUCUUUAACAUCAAUCUUAUUAACUUCUUUAGCCAUUAUAAAUACCAAAACAACCAUGGACUUUUAUUUCUUAAUUUUUUUUAUCAUGGAUCUUUUAACUUUAAAUUUUUAUGAUUUUAUAUUUUUUAUAGGUUAUUAUUUUAUAAAAAUAGAUUAUUUUGUAUCAUGUAUAAAAACUAUUACAGAUAAAGAAAUAUAUAAUCUUUUCAUUGAUAAUAUUUAUUGCUAUCAUAGAUUACCUAAAAGGACUCAAUAUGUAUCAAGAUUUGAGAGAUUUUUUUUUAAGAUGUUAAAUAUGGAUAAAAAACUAUCUUUUGUUUUACAUUCUCAAACUAAUGGACAAGCAAAGUAAUUAAAUCAAGUUUUAGAGCAAUAUUUGAAGUAUACCAUUAACUAUUAUUAAGAUGAUUGGACAACUCUAUUCUCAUUAGAAAAGUUUGUUUAUAAUGAUAUAUUGAAUACCUCUACUUAUUAAAUAUCUUUUUUUUAUUUAAUUAUGGUUAUUAUUUAUGACUUGAUAUAUUUGACUUUUCAAAAAUAGAUAAUCUUAUAGAAGAAGAUUUAACAAAUUAUUUAUUAGAACUACAUGCAACAAUGAAGGUACAAUAAAAAGAAGAUCAACAAUAACAAAACAUCAAAGCAAAUGCAUAUUACAAAGAACAAUCUUAAUUCUAUGCAAGUAAGAAUGUAUGCUUACUUUAUUGUUAUAUCAAAAUUAUUCGCCUUUGUAAUAAGUUGUAUUUAUCUAUUUUUAAUUUAUAAAUGGAUAAAUCCAGUUGCUUAUUAAUUACUCCUAUUAAAGUCUAUAAAGAUUUAUUUCAUGUUUCAUAUAUCUUUUCUUAAGCCAUACUAGACAAUAGAUAUAUGAAGAAGAAGACAAAUGCCACUUUCUCUUAUAAAAAUAGAUAAUAGUUAAGAAUUUAAUGUCAAAGAAAGUUUGGAUUUAACACAGCUCCAAAAUAUGUUAGAAUAGUUUGUAUGUUGGCAAGGAUGUGAUAUAAGUGAAUGCACAUGGGAUCCACUAAAGAAUCUUGUAAAUGCAAUAAAAAAUGUUGAUACUUUACAUCAAAACUAAAAUAAAGAAUCAAGAUAUGUGUAUUGUUCUUUAAAGAACUUAUUUCUAAAAAUGGAGAUAAUAUCAUGAAUACACAUAAUUACUUAAAUAAGAAGUGUUAUAUAGAAGGUGUAUAUAUAUAUAUAUAUAUAUAUAUAUAUAUAUAUAUUUUAUAAUAUUUUGUGGAUUUGACACAAAUUUGGUUUUAUAUAUGUUUGUAGUUGAUUGAUAGGUUGAAAACUUAGCCAACAAGUUAGCCAAGUAUUACACAUAUUGAUUACUUAUAAUACAAGUUGAUUAUAUGGUACAUAUAUAUGAAACUUAUCUUAUAAGUUAGAUAAAAGUCUCACAAGGACACAUAUCAAAGAUUCUAUAGAAUAUUGUUAUAUAGCUCCUAAUUAAAUAAUAUGUAUGGAAUCAAGAGUAAAGUCUUCUAUAUUCUUAACAAUGCCUUUUGACUUUUUAAUCUUGUUUCAAGAGUCUCUAAUCUUUUUUUUUUAGCAAUAGCCAUUCUAGUUUUAAUACACUAAUAUUUUUGAAUGAAUAUCUAUUAUUUUUAAGUGACACAAGAAUUUGUUGAGGCUUUUAAUUUUCUAAAUCAUGUCCUUAAAAAAUAAUAUUUUAAGAUUCUAUACAAAAUAAUUAUUCUUUUAUUGUUACAAAGAUGACAUAAAUUUCUUUUAAUUAGACAUAUUAAUUAUAAAAAAUCACUUAAAUUACUUUUUUACAAUUUUUAGUGGCUUAAAUUAUAAAACAUAAUUAAUAGAUUUUUAAUAAAAUAUAAGAUAUGUGGUAGAUUAAAAUAUAAUUAGCAUUAUCUUUAUAUAUUUUAAAACAAUUUCUAAUUUAAAAAUAAAAAUUAUUAUUUUUAUUAUUAAUUUUUACCAAAAUAUUUUUGAUCAUCAAUUUUGAUAUAUAUAUUUAAUUUGUGGUAGUAAACCAAAUCAUCAAAACAAGACAUUUUAUUCUCUAUUGAAAUAUAAUAAUACAAAUUGUUAUAAAAAUUUAAGUGAUGUAUUUAAAAAGAUAAAGUUUUAAUUUAAGAUAAAAGAUAAAAUAUGAUAUUUUUUCUUUUAAAACCAAAUGAUUAAUUGGUCUUGUAAAAAUAUGCACUAUCAAAAGUUAGACAUUUUUUGAUUUAAAAAAAAAUCCCCUUAAUAGUCUAAAAUUUAAAAUUACCAAUAUAUACUUAUGUAAAUAUAAAUUUUAAUGUUAAUUUUGAAAAUAUUAUCUACAUAAAAACUUUCAAAUACUUAAUAAAAAUUAAUUCUUUAAAAUUUAUAUAAAAAACAUAUAUGUAUUUUUUAAAUAUUAAAAUUUUGGAUAAGACAUAGAAGUUUAGAGUGUCUUAUAUAUUGAUAUAUUAAUUUUGUUAUUUAAAAAACAAAAAAUUCUUAUUAAAUUUGAUUAAUACAUGAAAAAUAUUUAAAAUAUAGAAAUAAACAUUGAUUAUCGCUAAUAUUAUAUAUUAACAAAUAUAAUCAAAUAAAAAUAUGUAUUUAUCAAUAUCAUUUAUUACUGAUAAAAAAUAUUAAAUAAUACUAUAUCUAAUUAAGAUUCAAUUAUAUUUCUAUUUUUUUAAUUUAUCAUUUUAAAUCCUAAAAUAUAUAUAUAUAUAUAUAUAUAUAUAUAGAUUUAUCUUAACAUAUUUUAGUUGCAAAUUAAAGUUGAAUAAAAAAGUAUUAAAAAAUAAAUUUUGAGUAUGCUAUCAACUAAAUUAUAUAUAUAUAUAUAUAUAUAUAUAUUCAUAGUAAAAUUUUCUUAUUAUGAAAAAUUUAAAUAUCUAUUUAAAAAAAAUAUUAUGCUCAAAAAAUAAAUUUUAUUUUAACUUAAACAUUAUUAAAUAUUCAAUAAUAGAUACCUUAUUUAUAAAAUAUUAUACUAUAUAUAUAGAUAUAUUUUAUAAUAAAUAUAAAUUUUGGCUUUUAUAAAAUAUAAUUUACAAAUAAGUUUAUGAAAAGGUGGACUAUAAAAUAAGAAAUCUUUUUACUAUCUUAAAGUUAGAAGGUUAAGCAUAUUGUCAUGGUAAUAAUAUUAAUAGAAUUUUGACAAUAGAAAAAAUUAAUAUAUCAUUAAUCAACAUAUUACUUAAAUAAAGUAUCAUGUACUCAACUUUUUAAUAAUGUUAUUUGACUAUUUGAAUCUACUAUCUUAAAAUAUAGCAUUGAAAGAAAAAUAAAAUCCUAAAAUUAAAAAUAUUUUAAUGACACAAACUUCUAGAAUAUUUUUAUUUAUUUUAUUAUUUUUUAUAGAAAAAUAUUAAAUAAAUCCACUCUUUUAUUAAAUUGAUCCAUCCAUCUUAAUCAUUAUGAAAAAAAUAAAAAAAUAAAAAAAUAUGACAUCUAGAUUCAUUUCUCUAUUGUUUGAUCCAAAAGUAAUAAAAACUAACUACAUUCAUUAUGAUUACUAAUAUUCUUUAUCAUGGAUAGGUCAAUUUAGUAAAAACAUGGAUCUAUUUAACAUUCUCUUUAUUAUAUUUUUCUUAUUUGAAACUUGCAAGAUUACUAAUACUUUGCCAAUAAUCAUUUUAUUGUUGUGAUGUAAUCUAAUAUAAAUGUUACUUAUUAUUUAUCUUUUAGCAUUUUUUGCAUGAGAUUAUUAACAACUAAUCAAAUUAUUUAUUUCUAUUUUUAAUAAUAAAAUUUUAACUUAUUUUAUACAUUUUGAGAACAUGAAAUAAAAUAAAAAAAUUAACACUACAUCAUUAAUUAAUACUUGUAACAACCAUGUAUGGGGGGAGGGUAGCAAAUUUUUCUUUACUCCAAACAAUUAGCUUCACUAGUAUGCUUCUUAUCAACACAUUGUGAAUGAUGCAUUUUAGCAAGACGGUGGAAACCUUCUUGACAAAAGGAUCACAACAUAUAUAAAAAUAACAAUGAUGAAUAAAAGCUGGGCCAUAGUACAUGACAAAAUUGUGGGUGAUGCAGACAAGGAGUAGCUAUAUAAAAGGGAGCACAAACAGAUGUUGAUCUUGGAGGUAGUUGCUCAACUGAAGACCACUGUACAAAGAUUUGCUGUCCCUCUUUUCCCCUCCCUCCAAUUGUUGCAGGUAUUAAUUAAAGUGUAGCAAUAUCAAUUAGGAAUGUAAUGUUAACAAUUUUUCAUAAGAAUCUAUAACUAAUAUUGAGACCAUAAUAAUUAGUUUUUUCAAAAUUUCUCAUAUUGCAUAUAAAAAAUAUAUAUUGAAACAAUUCAUUUUAUUACACAUAUAAAUAUGAAGUUUUGGUAACCAAUAUAUGUUUCCUAAUAUAUAAUUUAUUAUACUAUAAAUACAUAGUAAUAAUAUUUACAAUAAUAUCUUGUACAAAGAUUAUCUCAAAAUUUUAAUUUUGUUAUCAUGUACAAAAGUAAACAAUUCGUGUUUUAUUACAAAUGCAACGGUGCAAUAUAAAAAUUUGAAAGUGUGUUAGUGUGUAUAUAUAUAUUUAUAUAUAUAUAUAUAUAUAGAGAGAGAGAGAGAGAGAGAGAGAGAGAGAGAUAUAUAUAUAUAUAUAUAUAUAUACACAACAAAUGUUGUGGCAAGUUGGAUAGGUUGUAAACAAACGGAUAAUCAGUGAACGGCAGAGAAUCAAUUUGCAAAUUUUGUCAAGGUUUCUCUUUUUGAAUGCUCUCUUGAAAUCUGAUUGCAAGUGUGCCCCAAUCAACAAAAAUUUCGAGAUUGGACGUAAGCGGUCCAAAUACACCGAGGGUUCCACUGGGAUUCGAUCCACUUUCGAGCACUCCAGAGCGAACCCAGGUGUCAGCCACUUUAAAAAAGAAAAGUUUGAGAGGGUUGCCACGUCGACCAUAAAAGCGACAGGUCAGAAAAAAGCGCGGGAGACGACGGGGCCACGGAAGGAGAAGCCCCGACAAGGGCGGGGCUCUGACUGACGCCGAAUGGGGCGGAGGGGAAAGAUCGCACCCUUCGUGCGUCGAUCUCACAGCGCGUGUGUGGGCGGCUUGAUGCUUUUUUGUUGCCCAAGUUGCUGCGAGAAUGGAAGCAAGCGGGCAGGGGGUAGGGGACAGUGUAGAUGGUGGGGUAGCCUCUACCCCCCAACUGCACAUUGCGAGCUUUUCACUGGCGCUGCAGGACGCUGGGGCGGAUGACGCCUCGUGACUGCACGUGAACAGCCCGUGAAGGAUCAGAAUCACAAUGGCGGCCACGCCCUCCAGGUCCUAAUAUGGACUCAAGCGUCGCAAAGUUCGGCCGGACGCUUCAGUGGGCCUGACUUGAUCAUUCUUCAUCUCUGUGUGUGCUCGACUGACUGAACGACUCAUUAAAGUCAACUUUUUCUUGCAUGGUGUGGGGCAUGGACUGCCGCACUGCUAUCAUCGGCUUGAAGCGUCUUAUCCAAGGCUGCCUGGAUCUCCAUCUUGUCUCUUAAUUGUGUUCCUCCAACCACCAGUGAAGUCAGUCCAUCCGGGAGAUGAGCUUCUUCUCCAGUAGAAUGGAACUGCUGGAAAGGUGACCGCCAUUCAAACAAUGGUCUAUGAAGCACUCCACAGAAACUAGCUGCAUCGCAUUAAACACAUCCAUCUGCAAUAAAAAGGCACCUACCACAGAAACGGGAAGAAGUUUCGGCAAAAACCAGUUAAGAUCUGGUGUUGUUCCCCUUUCAUCCUGGUUGCAGCUUCUCGCAAUUAGGAGUAGCCAUGUCAUUCUCUUCGCUGUUUUAACUUCGUUGCAAUUAAGAGUUGCCACUUGUUGCUCCAAUUUAUUCUCUUCGCCACACAUGACGGCCAUAUCUGCCACCACGGACAACAUCCAGUGCAGGAACCCGCUAAUGGCGGGAGGAUUGAUGUACUCAAUCUCAAGCUGGAGUAUCAUAAUGUCGUUGUUGUAGCGGUGUGUUCGUGAGAGAGAGAGAGAGAGAGAGAGAGAGCAAGUGUUCAGGCACUUGGAGAGCUGAACUACGUGACAUCUGCUAAACUAGAUGAGCCUGGCUGAAUCAUCAGCGUGGACGCAAUGGGACACCAGAUGACAAACAUCGCUAAACAUGCAGGUGAGAUGACCAGUGGAGUUGGAGGUGAUUCUAGUGGAGAGCGAGAGAGCAGGAGCGGAGAGGGAGAGGAAUACGCCGCAUGAAUGGUGAGGAUGAGGGAGGCGAUGGGACAGCUUCGAGGAGGAGAGAUUGGUGUGAUGGUUCGCUCCCCAUGGACGUAAUGCAUCGCUUGCACACCUGGGAGUAUGAGCGUGACAGGUUGCUCUCAAAAGCAAUAACCGAACGACGGGGACAGUUUAUUUGUCCGCGAGAAGUUAGGAAGGUGUCGAAGGCGACGAACGGGGAAGGCUCGGCAGAAGAAGUAUGGCGAGAAGAGAAGCAUCUGAGGAUGCCCGGAACACCGUAGUGCAAGUCGCCGCCGGAGAAGUUCACACACUUGCUCUCACAGGUAACUUUCGCAGCACUUGUUUUGGAACAACUCUCCUCGCAUGCACUUGUGCAGCUUGGACAAUUCUCGGUCGAGUGUGAUGAAUGGGACUAUCUUGUGAUUUGGGGGGCGUGGCGCUCAGCUAGAUGCAAUGUUAGGAAGUGUUCACGGGAACCUGACUCCAAAAAAAUAAGGUAAAACUUCCGGUGUUCUCGAGCUCUCUUAACCUUUGCAAAGCUUCAAGGUCGUGACUCAAGUGCGGCACUGCGCAUUUUGAUGAGGAAAAUGCAAGUGGACUGCGCGACGCUUAACUAUCAAGAGCUGCAGUAGUGAGCCUUAUUCCGUGUUUUCCAACAUCGGAGCUUACUGUUGAGGUGUAAUACCCAAAGUCCUCAGCUCUCGGGCUUCGUUGACUUGGGUAGAAAUUCAGCCCUGUUACUACUACGAGCAGAGUUUUCUACGAGAUAGGUUUGUCCGUCUUUAAAUGUACACCCCCAUUAAGGAGCGAAUGUUCAUCAGUCUUUCUUCUCUAGGUGGAAGUAAGUCCUACCGAGAUUCCAGCGUUGACUCAGAGAGAUUGAGAUUCGCAUUUUUCCUGACCGUGCAAUGUUCUUACAGUUAAGAGAUGGCGAUUGAUUGGUGUUUUUGUGAAGCUGUGGGUGGUGUAUACACAUGGGGGCGAAACCUGUUCGGGCGAUCGGGCAUUGGUGGUGUCCAGGAUGGUUUUGUUCCCACUUACGUAUCCGUUGGGACGAAUCUCGACGAUGGAGACGGUUCCCGGAGCUCGCAUUCGUCUGGAAGAGAGGGCAACUUCCAUUCUCUUCAUGUACGUGACAGAGACAGAGUUAAUCGGCCACCAAAAGUCGUGCAAGUUGCUGCAGGGGCGAACCACAACCUCGCAUUGACAGCAGAUGGCGUAGUGUGGUCGUGGGGUUACAAUGCCUGUAUCCAACUCAAGAUUUUACAUUAUGCUUCCUCUUUCUUGUUGCUCUUCAUUCACGAACUGCGCAUGUUUGAAUGUUAUCUUAUGUGCUCGAAUUGCAUGUUCCUUAACUAAGCAUGGAUGGUCAACUUGGUCGUGAAAAGGACGCAUCGCAUCCGUCGUCAGUUACCUUCACUUGCAGAACCACCGCCGAAGACGGUCGCCGAGGCGCAGCUAUGCGGCUCAAGAGAGGAACUACCGACCAGGAGCGCAAACGGCCGAAGGUAACCUCUGAAUGUUCCAAUUUGUGCGAUGCAUUGCUGCAACGUAACCUGUUAAUGAAAUCUAAGGUUGCAGUAGAAAUUGGUGCAGAUCAUUGCGGUGGAAGCUGGUGGCAUGAUAUCUUGUGCCAUAGACUUGGAUGGCGCUCUCUGGCUUUGGGGUGCCGUUCCAAACCCUUCGGAUUGUUCUGGUAGUCGCAGCAGCGGCAACGGGAGCUUCUCUGUCAUAAGAGUGGAGAGGCCUGAAAAAGUAAGAGGACUUUUGGGGCUCAGGGUUUAUCGAGUCGCUGUGGGGAAUGAACACAUUGUCGCUCUUGUGGAAGGAAGGGACGAUAGCGACCUCGACUGCUAUGCCUGGGGAAACAACCAAUUUGGUCAGCUAGGUCUCGGCGAUUUCAGAGACAGGGAGUACCCUCAGGUGGUGAAAGCUCUCUCCGCAUCCGUUAUCGGUUCUAUUGUGGAUCUUGCUUGCGGCGCAUUUCACACUGCGAUUCUUGCCGUGAAAGAGGAUCAUCCUGCCAACCUCAUACUGGAACCAAAUUCCCCAAGGUGUAGGCGAAACAAGCAGGGUUGGGAUGUCAGUCAAGAUAUCUCCACCCCCAGACAUAGUUUCUUUAGAACCCAUCAACCGAUGGCCGAGGAGUUGGAAUCUAUCCGAAACUCUCCUAAUGUGCGCAUGAGGCAAGAUAGUGAGACGAGCUCCUCUCUAAGGUCGACCGCUUGGGGCUCAUCGCGCAUGUCUUCCAGUCGCAAUUUCACACAAUGUACCAGCACGAGGUCUAAAGAGAGCUUUUGCUUAGAGGGUCGACUGUCCGUUUGUUGGACGUUUGGACAGGGAGAGAGCGGACAAUUAGGUCAAGGUACGUCGUCUAAUCAAUAUUUCCCUGCUCCUGUCGAAGGUCUUCCGAACGAGCGUCUCCGGACGGUUGCAUGUGGACUCUUCCAUACAUCCGUGGUAACCGAAACAGACGACGUUUGGGUGUGGGGAAUGGAGGGAGGAUUAGGUCUUUGCCCCGGAAUUGGCCCCCCUGGUACAAAAACUGGCGAUGCAUUCUCUCCUGUGCGCGUAUUCGGCGAUAGCUCCGCAAGUUGUCAUCCUGUCAUGGGGUCCAAAGGCAUCACCUGCGGGGCGGCACACACUGUCACUAUUUCUAACGGCGGUAGAGAUAUCUGGGCGUGGGGGCGAGGUCAGAGUGGAGUUCUGGGGUCAGGACACACCUCCGACAGCUGGUUCCCAUGUCCAGUGAUAUGGCCGCCGGCGGCCUCAGCGUCAUGGUCUGGUGGAGCUAAAGUACCUUCUCAGUCGGAUACAUUGUUCCCCAUAGACUUCGAUUGUCGAAGGUCAAGCCGAGCUUCAAGUUGGACUGGGUCCAGAGACAGAGCAGAUUCCAUCAAGUCUUCUCCCAAAGUAACAGGUCAGUUCUCCUACCCUGUCUAUGUCAAUCGUGCAUCCGAUUUUCUUGUCCCCACAAUAUUCUUAUGCUAGUUUUAUCCAAUUGCCCAUGCAGUCAUGGUCGACACGAGGAAGACCGGAGGUCAACCAUCAGAGAAUUCGGCCGUGUUAGAUGAAAUUAAAUCCAUCCAGAAGGAGCUGGCCGAGGUACGACGUUACGCUGAAAGCCUCCACGCAGCCAUUUACGGGGAGGCGGAAUAUUUCUAUCAACAACCCGGAAACCUUUUCCACUCGGAUAGGAACAGCGAUUACGAUCAAAGCUCCGAUCAGGGACAGGGGAGCGGCGGUGCUUUGCGGAAAGAGAAAGCUCUUCAGGAGUGGGAGCACCGCAUGGAAGCUGCAUCUGACGCCAAUCUGGUCUGUCCACUCAUCCAUUGUUCCACGCAUCUGUUAUCAGAUCUUUCCCUGCAACUCCUCCAAACCUUUGUGCAUUCCUGUCCGAAACUAAAUGCCUAUCGUUUUUGUCAUGGCAGGCAAAUCUCGAUCGUUUUUACAGAGGAAUGCGAAUUCGAUUGAAGGAGGUUUUGUUUGAGAGGAAAAGCAGUGAGUGGUGUCACCAUUACAUGUCGGCAAUGGAUUCCUCCGCUACUCCCGUGGACCCACAACCUAUGCGGGAGCCGUAUUCAGCGGAUUGUACUCCCUCCAUGAAUGGUCCAGGAAUGCUGGCCAUGCUUAAGACCGGCCUCUACAAUGACAGAGCAGAAAUGCUUCCACCGGCAGCCUCCGUCGCCGAAUUUUGCAUGUUAGCCAGACAGCAAAGAUGACAGAUUCCUCUCCUUCUCCUCCUCCUCCUCCUCGUCUCUGUUGCUGCGUUUCCUCACCGUCUCUCUACCCCGCACUCGAUCCUCCUCACCGCACUCGAUCCCAUGUUUAGGUUCGCCGAUACAAUCGCUUCAGAGGUUGCGGUAAGCAGAUGCUUUGUAAAUACUUCCAUCAUCUCCACAUUACCAUGAAUCGGAAUUGUAAGCCUUAAAUCUUCAACUCCGUGGAGGAGUUUCAUCCUUGCGGGGAGGGUAUCUGGACAUCUAUCUAUCAAAGAGGUGAAAGCCGUUUCCGUCUUUCGAGAACGAGCGGCAUCGCUUGCUGAUCACUCCGACACUUGACAUAAUCUUACCAGCCUGUCUCGAGUAAGCUUGUCCGUGAACAUCCAUCGCUAGCGAACCAUGCGACAAGUUCUAGUGCCCAUGCAAAGCAAAAUGGAGAUAAUGCCUUUGAGCUUUGUAUGUGCCAAGGCAACUGGAAUUCAUUGCUUCCAGUGGAUGACAGGUUGAUCAUGGAAUCCUGGAUGAGACAUCCAUCCACCCAUCCAUGCUCGUCGUAUCUUCUUUGUAUAUUUAGCAACAAGUGGAUUAACCCAAAUGAGGUUCCAAUUCAAAGGUUAUGUAGUUGUAUUGACAACUGCAUGGAUGGUUUUAACUGUUGUAUCAUGUUGGAUUAUGCAAGAGGGCAACUUCUUGAGGUCUUUGGCAGAAUGUAUGGAUUGUGAAUCUGUGACUUUGAAAGAGAAAAAGUAUUUGUGUAGAAAUUUGAAUAAAUCACAAAGAGUAUGUUAGUGGAAUGUAAUUUUGUCCAAAUAAAAUAUGAGCUGCAAAUGAAUUUUGACCAUCAAUUAGUGCUGUUCUUGAAACCUGGGGGCAUUGUUAAGAGUUGAUUCUAUUGUGGUGGUAUAAGUUUAUAUUGUUUGAGAAAAUAAAACUUCAUGAAAUGUUUUUAAUGAAAGAAAGUUGGGAAACAAAUGUUAAUAACCAUGAUAUUAUGGAAAAAAUAUGAAUCGGUUUGGUGUCAAAUCUUUCUUUAACAUUCAAUUUUGAGGACAUCAUUUAAGACUUCUUUUUGGGAAAUUAAGUAUAUUUAAUGAAGAAAAGCAUCUACAAAUGUUUCAUUAGAAUGCAUUUUGUAAAUAUUGCCAUCAUCUCCACCACAUAGAUGUUAGAACACGUAAUACAAUAGAAUAUAUGUAUAUAAAAUUGAAAAUGUUACUUGGAGUUUUACUGUUGUAUUUAUUUUUGUAUCAAUAAACUAUAUUACUACAAAUAAAAUUUAGUAUGUUUCUAAUUUAAUAGAUGCAUCAAUAGCAUAUUAUUAGAAAAAUAAAAAAGUAAAGACCAAAAAUAAUAUAUCAAUCUUAUGUUAUUUUUUUAUUUCUAGUUUUAAUUUUAAACUUCAUGAAUUAGAGUAAAUUUGAGUCUAGAAAAAAAAAAUCACAUGUAAUAUAUUUGAUAAACAUAAUUGAGCUAACAUAAUUUCAUAUCAAUAAGUUGUGAAAAGUAAUAAAUAAAUAGAAGUUGCUAAAGCAACACGUCCAUGUUAUUAAAGCAACACCUCCUUGAAUUUCAUGAUUUAAUCAAUCUAUCUCUCGUCUCCAUCGAAGUCAUUGUCCCAAGUUGCCAUUCUUAGUCACCGUCCUCAAUCUCCAACCCCCCAUCUUUGUUUUCUAUUUCCAAUUCUCCAUUCUCAUCACAUGUCCCCCAUUCCAAUCCCCUCCUCUCCCUCCCAUCUCCAUUCAUAUUCUCAUUUUAUAGAAAAAUGAUAUAUAACUUUCAAAGUAAUUUAUGUUUCUUACUUAGAAAACCAACCCUCAACUCCAAAGCCUUUAGCCAUAGAUUUUGCACAUAAUUUCUAUAUUAAAAAACUUGUACAUUUUUAACUAGAAAAUUUUAGAUUCCAUGAGCACACAAAAUACAAUCAAGUAAUCUAGCAUUGUUUAAAUUAAAAUAAGAUGUAUUAUAUUUUAAUUGCAAUUAGAAGAUUACAAUGCAACAUCAACAAUGUUUCAAUUAGAAAAUAAUUUUAUUUAAAAAAAAAAUCUUGUUCAAGGUUAUUGUUGCCAUCUACAAUGAUAACAAAUAGGAACAUGGAACAAGUACUAGAAUCAAUGACAAUAGAGGCUAGAAGAGAGGUUGAUACAAGAGACAUGGAUUAAAAACAAGGAAUUGAGAAUAUGGAAUGUGGAAUUGGAAACAUUGAAUGGAAAAUUGGAAAUAUGGAACAUGAAAUUGGGAACUAACAAUAAGGAAUUGGAAACAUGAAAUAGGAAAUUGGGGAUAUGGAAUCAUGAUGGAAAGGUUGAGAUGGGAGAUGAGGGCUAGAAAAUAGAGAAUUAGAAAUAGGGAGCAUGAAUGGAGGAGUUAAGACAAGAGAUAGGAGGCGGAGAAUAAAUUGAAUUAAUCAUGAGAAUCCAAGGAGCAUGAGUAAAUUUAAAUAAACUCAUUGCAUGAAACAUAACAUUGAAAGUAGUAGUGAUUAAUUUGAUUUUUUUUUCUUAUUUAAAUGGCUAUUAUCAUAAGAACAUAUAUAAUUUUGAAAUGUAUAUGAUGUUCCAAAAUAAUUAAAAUACUAAAAAUUAUCUUUGUAUUGCAUAGUUUUUAACAAGUAUAUUUACAUUGCAAUUUUGUAAUCAAAAUAACAAACAAUAAUUCAUUAGUAUUAUUUAUAAAGGUAUAAAGCAUAAGUACUUUAUAAAAACUAUGAUAAAAAAAAUUUAAAAUUUUGAGUUACAUUCAAUUUUUCAUUCUACAACAAACAAUUCAAUUAAUUAUAAGAUAAUUCUAAUAUGUAAGGAUCAAAUAUUAGUUAUUUACAAUAUACAUAUAGUUUAAUUUUAAAUACUUGCUACAUUUAAGAACUUAUAAAUUGACAGAUAUACGUAUGCAAUUUGAUACCAAAUUUGUAUAUUUUUAAGAUUUUUUUUUAUAGAUAUACAUGCUUAUAAAAACAAUGAUGCAUUGUGUUUGAUGAAAUUAGAAGUAACUCAAACACAA